rnacentral:lncRNA from 1 species
CAAAAAAAAAAGGUUAAAUUUUUACAGGAUGAGUGACUCACUAUAGGCCUGUUGAUGAGUUUGUUAUUAUAAGGGGUUUCUUCGCUACCAGAAACGUAGUUUCUGCCCCAACUUAAUCUACUUCCAACCUGAUACAGAAUACGUACCACAAUUUUCCAUAAAUAUAUAAGCCACGAACCAAAUAGCAACUCUUGAGAGAGAUUGAAAAUAAAUAACAGAGAGAAUAUAUAGAAGAAAACAGGACAGUCUCACCAGCCGGAUACUGUUUUUAGCCGGCCGGAUAAUGUUCUUAGCCACCCUGCCAUUGACAUUGGGGAAAAAAAACAGAAACAGAUAAUAAAGAAAGUCAGAAGUUCAAAACAAAUAAAAGAUAGAUCUUCCGAACUAUCAACAGAGAGAAAUUCAGAAAGACCGUACCUGACUUUGGAGGCAAGACUGGAGGCUAACCUGUUCAUGGUCUGUGGACUUGGGGACUAUUAUUUAGCAGAGAUUUUAUUUUAAGGGUUCCUCUAUGAUGCUGUAAUUUUUUUUAAAUAUUACUAAUAUUUUAAUUGUGCACCAUUGGAUUAAAUCUAAUGGUAUACAAUUUUUUGCUAAAGAAAAAAAUUAAAAAUAAUGUUAAACGAUUUGUCAACCGUUCAAGAGGUGGAGAAAUGUUUGUAAAAUAAUUGUGACUACUCUUAGAGUUUAAAGUAAUUUCACUUAAAUAGCAUAUUUUAUUUAUAAUUACUUUUCAAGUCUCCUUUAAAUUUGUAUUGUGAUAAUUUUUUAUGAAUAAAUUUUCCAAAAUCUAUUACCAAUAAGUAUACAAUAUAAUAUGAAAUAGGUUAUUUAAUACAAAUCAAAUAAAUAAAUUAUAAUUGCAAAAUUUAUAUAUGAUAUAACACUAAUAAAUAACACAACUAAGUAUAUAUACUUUAGUAAACGUCAUACUCACAUCAAUAAACUCAUUAGUGAGAUUGCUUAUAACCUAAAAACUACUUGAUUACUCAUGUUGUAAUAAAAUUUAAAAUCGCAUAUUAAAAUUCUCAUUAUUUUAUAUAAUAUUAAGGACUAUUGUAUAAUUGAUCAUGGAGUAUAUAUUAUUUUUAACACCCAUUUAAUGUACCUAUUCUUUGAACUUUUUGUUUAUCUUAUAAUUAAUAUUCUUACAUGAUAGGAAUUUUAAGUUUUACAAGUCUAUAUAUUUUCAUUUUAUUUCAAACAUCACUUUAUUAAUUUCAUAAAAGUUAAAUCUAAUAUAUAUUCCUAAUGAGCUUUAGUUUAUGAAUCAUGAAACAUUAUUUUAUUGACAUCCUUUGAUUGUAAUAAUAAAAUUUAUGUUAUAAGAGUUGAAACUUUUAUUAUGGUAAUUACUAUUGACAAUGAAUAAAAUAUUGCCUUCAAGAAUAUUUAUGUGGAAAAAUUGGGAAAGAAAAUCUUUUUAUAUUUUUAUAUUUUUAUUUACAUGGUAGAAAAUUAUCCAAGCCUUAUAAACUUUAACUUUCACAAGCUUGUUUUCAUUUUAUUUUCAAAUGUCACUUGGUUAAUUUCAUAAAAGUUUAAUCUAACAUAUAUUCCUAAUUAACUUUAGUUUAUUUUUCCCAAGCAAAUUAAAACCCAAUGGAUAGCAAAUUCGAUUGUAUGCGAGCCUUAAAAAAGAAAAAUAUCAGCAACUCACAUAACAAAGAUGGAGCCGAGAGAGCAAAAGCAGUCGAGGUAGUUGGAUGGAGCAGCAGUGGUUGCGGCGAGAUGGCGCACUAGCGGCGACGGAGAUGAAGCAGCAACGGCACCGGAGAUGAAGUGCAUCAACCGAGAUGGGCACAUAGAGAGAGAGCAGAUCUGGAGAGAAAAGGACAGAAAGCUUGCUGUUGUGUGUAGAUCGGCGAAGAUAAGGAGAGGGAGAGAGAGAGUUUCGUUGUGAGCAGAUCAAGAAAGGAGGUAGAGAGAGCACCGUGAGUCAGCUUCGUUGUGAGUAGAUUAGGAAAUUUGUGAACGAAAUUUUUUGUUGGCUUUUGUUUUUUGAUUUGUUUUUGAGUUUGGCUUUGUAAUAAGUAGAGAACAUGUUAAACAUGUUUUUGCUUUGCUAGUUAUAAAAAGUAGAUUUGGAUUUCUUAUUUUGUAAUUUGUUUUUGGAUUCAGCCCACCAAACAUGUAUUACAUCAGUACUCCGAAAAUGAAAAUGAAAACACUAGCCCAAAAACGAUACCAAACGGGCCUUUAUUUAGCAGAGAUUUUAUUUUAAAAGAAAAAGAAGGGAGGAAUAGUAGGCUAGUUGAGGUUUUGUCUUUUUCUCAAAUAGUAGUUUAGAUGGUGAUGAUUGUUUUGUGUACUUUGUAUUCUGGCGUCCACUUCAGAAAAAGACGAGGCCUGUCGUCUUGCAGUAGCUUUAGCUCUAAGUCAUAUGACCCAUCCACGUCGGCCCAGUUCAGCUAUUUGGUCUAUUUUCAAGUUUUUUUAUUUUUUUAUUUUUUAUUAUACGAUAAAUUGUUUCAUUAUUCCAAAAAUAUUCUUUUUUAUUUUAAAUAAAAAUUCAAUUAGAUAAUUAAAAAAAUAAUUCUUUUAAAUAAUUUUUAUUCUCUUACAUUAGUUUGCAGAUUACUCAAACUACAAACUGAUUUAUAAUUAUGACACAGAUACUCUAAAUUUAAGUAAUGCUACGAGUGACUAAAAAUAUUAAAAUGCCAGCAGAAAAUAAAAAUAUAUUUGGGAAAAUUUAUGUCUCAUAAUAAAUUGGUAAAAAAUCUCAUUGGGUUCGUAUACAAGAAGCCCUGUUGUUUUUCCUUUUCAAGGGAAGAAACCACGUUGUUAAAAUGAGGUUUAAUAAUAAAAAUAAAUAAAAUUUAAAAAAAUGAGGUUUACACUAAUAAGUUAUAAAUGAUGAUGCUGUAAGCCUCAGCUCUUUUGCUUUAAUAUUAUUACUUUCUGAGGAAUUUUUCAGAAAGCAAAGGGGAAACGAGGGAGGAAAGCUUGUUUUUUUUUUCAGAAACUUAAAUGAACCGUAGUAGCAUUAAUCACUCAAAUUAAUUAUUAUUCAAAAUUUAUUGCUCCAGCAGAUAACAGUGGCCGUAUAGUAUAAAAUAUUUUGCCAAACGGAAGCAGACGCAAACUGAGAUAAUGAAUUGAUAGAGAAAAUUGUUGAUGAUGAUAUGCACAUGGCUGGAACAAUCAUGGAAAGAUGCUACCUAACAUUGCUAUAUUAAAAGAUUGUACACGUACACUUUAACGCUAAAAAAAUAUUCAGGAUCUGCCUUGCUUUUCUUAAUUUUUUGACCUGUCCGCUUCAUGGCCAUGAUACGUUGACUUUGAAUAUUGUCUUGAACAAUGCCAACUCAAACGAAAACCAUAGUCCAUGCAAGCAUUAGACGGGAGCGCACGCCUUCUCAGAGGGUCAGAGCCUCAGUUUUGUUUGCCCUUUUAGAGCCUUUGAUUUCUACUCUCCAUCAUGCUUCGGCUUCCUGUUUCGUUGUAUUGAGAGUAGUGAUUUAAGAAAAGUCAAAUUGAAGCUUGAAAUGACAAUUUCAAAAUUACAAGCCCAGUGAAAUAGAUGAGAUGAUUUUUAUAUUUAUUUUUGAAAAGAAGAAGAUAAAAUUCUUCGAGCUAGCCAUAACAUGUAAAUCAACUUGCUAGGACAAAGAAUAAAAUGUACUAAAAAUAGUUUAAGUUUGGGGUGUAUAUAUUCUUAUAUAAGUUUUUGUGAGACAAUGUGGUCAAAUUAUAUUAGAUUCUCUUACGCAAUUGGUUGUGAGGUAAUUUGGCAAAAUUAGAUUCUUGUCAUGUGUGUACUUACUAUUAUCUAAUUGGUUGUGAAGUAAUGUGACAAAAUCCAAUGGAGAGGGUGUACACACUGAGAAAGUACAAGUUUGUUGUAAAGAAUAAAGAUUGAUUAUAUGUAUGAUUCAUAUGUUAAAUAGCUAUUUAGUAUUGCAUCAGACAAAGUUGUUUUGCCUCAAAUUAAGUUUGCAUUUUAAUUGCAAGAAGGACUCUCGUUAUGUUCUAAUAAAUUUCUAUCAAUAACGACCAAAGUAACAAACUUAAGCUUCUGAACAUCUCUUUGCUAUAUGUCAAAAGAUGAAAGAUCUAUUCUUUUAGCUCUCUCCCUAUGAAAAAUGGAGCAAAAUCAGGCAAUGUCGUCAUUCUUUUGGUUUUGAUUGCUUAGUGCCAACUUGCAUGACAGAUAUGAUGGACCAUAUCUUAAGGAUUAAUUGAAAGGACUUAAUAGCUUUGUAUUUUCUCAAGUUGAAAAGGCAGUUUCUUCUCUUGCCCCAAAUAAGAAACCCUUGGUUUUUUAAUAAUAGCCCUAGCGACAUUAGGUCUACUAGCUUUGCAGCAUGAGCAAUUUCACAUGAAUUUCCAUUUCAGCUGAAGAAUUGGGACUAAGUGACCCAUCUAGUGUCUCUGAGGCUCAGACUAAGCUAAAUAUGUGGCACUUUUUACCCUUUGCAUUUGAAAUUUGAAACGGCAGCUUAUCUGUCCUCGAUACACGGCGAUUGAACUGACAUUUGUGUUACCCAAACGCCUCCAUUAUCUCUCUUGUAUUAAAUCCCUAAUCCGAAAAAUUAUUGCGUCUUGUUUGUCGUCAUUCUGCCCUAAACCAACUCCUUUUCCGAAAUCAGUCAUUUUUCCUAUGCUAGAGAUUUCCUUUUGCCUGAUUCUCCCGCCGCCACAACAGCACCACUAGCGCCGUUUUAUCUCAGGUACUGCCCUUAACUCUCUCUAGUUGUUAUUGUUUGGGUAUUGUAUUGUUCUUUCGUACUAGUAUAUUUAGGUUUGUGGUAUUUUUUCUCUUAAGACUUCACUAUGUCAAGACGAAAAGGAAAAAUGAUAGCAAAGGGGAAACGGGGGAGGAAAGUUUGGGAAGACACAUUAGCCUCGAAAGUCGUCAAAUAUAAAUGAUGAUGUUGUAGGCCUCAGCUCUUUUGCUUUAAUAUUAUUACUUUCUGAGGAAUUUUUCGGAAAGCAAAGGGGAAACGAGGGAGGAAAGCUUGUUUUUUUUUCCAGAAACUUAAAUGAACCGUAGUAGCAUUAAUCACUCAAAUUAAUUAUUAUUCAAAAUUCAUUACUCCAGCAGAUAACAGUGGGCGUAUAGUAUAAAAUAUUUUGCCAAACGGAAGCAGACGCAAACUGAGAUAAUGAAUUGAUAGAGAAAAUUGUUGAUGAUGAUAUGCACAUGGCUGGAACAAUCAUGGAAAGAUGCUACCUAACAUUGCUAUAUUAAAAGAUUGUACACGUACACUUUAACGCUAAAAAAAUAUUCAGGAUCUGCCUUGCUUUUCUUAAUUUUUUGACCUGUCCGCUUCAUGGCCAUGAUACGUUGACUUUGAAUAUUGUCUUGAACAAUGCCAACUCAAACGAAAACCAUAGUCCAUGCAAGCAUUAGACGGGAGCGCACGCCUUCUCAGAGGGUCAGAGCCUCAGUUUUGUUUGCCCUUUUAGAGCCUUUGAUUUCUACUCUCCAUCAUGCUUCGGCUUCCUGUUUCGUUGUAUUGAGAGUAGUGAUUUAAGAAAAGUCAAAUUGAAGCUUGAAAUGACAAUUUCAAAAUUACAAGCCCAUUUCAGCUGAAGAAUUGGGACUAAGUGACUUUUAAAACUUUAAAAAAUGGCUUGCACCUAUCGGUGGCCUUGGAGAUGAAAUGACUCAAGGCGGCUAUCCGGCUAGCUAAGCUCUGGACUUACUUAAUAGUACUUGGUGACUUCAUCCCAAGAACCGCCCGGAUUUUGUCGGGAUUAGCCUCAAUUCCGCCGCUGUUGUACUAUAAAUCCAAGGAAUUUACCCGAAGUCACCCCGAAUGCACAUUUCUCAGGAUUUAGGCGCAUUUAAUACUUUCUCAAAAUAUUGAAGGUGUCUCUGAGGUGCCCCGCGUGAUCACUGGCGUACACCGACUUUAUUAUCAUAUCAUCGAUGUACACCUCCAUGGUACGACCGAUUUGCUAUUUGAAGACCUUAUUCACCAAACGCUGAUAAGUGGCACCCGCAUUCUUCAAACCAAAAGGCAUAACCUUGUAGCAGUAUAACCCACGGUUGGUGAUGAAGGCCGUUUUAUCUUGAUCAGGCUCGUACAUUGGAAUUUGGUUGUACUCAGAGAAAGCAUCCAUGAAACUAAGCAUCUUGUGCCCUGCUGUAGCAUCGACCAGCUAGUCUAUCCGGGGAAGCGGGAAGCUAUCCUUAGGGCAGGAUUUGUUUAAAUCUGUGAAAUCUACACACAUGCGCCAUUUCUCGUUAUACUUCUUAACCAAUACAACAUUUGAGACCCAAUUGGGGUACACCACCUCCCUAAUAAACUCCGCUACUAACAAUCGGUCCACUUAUUGUUCAAUGGCGUCAUAGCGUUCCUGGUUGAAAGUUUGACGUUUUUACUUGACAGGCCUAUGAUGUGGAUCGACAUUGAACUUGUGACAGGCAAUAGAAGGCGGGAUACCCGGCAUGUUCGCGUGAGACCAAGCAAACACAUCUAAGUUUUCCUUUAAGAACUCAAUAAGCUGCUCUCGGUGUUGGUCAGUGAGGUUGGAGCCUACCUUGACCAUCUUGGUUGGGUCCUUAUUGCAGAGCGAAACAGACACAAGAUCCUCAACUGGUGCUUCUCGAUUUUCACCUUUCAGUACCCGGGGAUCCAGGGGUACCUCGACUUCUCCCAUUGAUGUUGAAUUGGGACUUUGGGGUACACGUCCACUUUCAUUGGCUCAGCUUCAUAUGGCGCUUGGGGUACCUGGGAGUUCGUGGACCGUUGAGCUUUCUUAUGUGCAACUCUCCGGCCUCUAACCAGUGCCCGCGUGGAUAGGACGAUAAAUAGUCUUGUGCUGAUGGGGGUACCCCUCCAAGAACAUAUUGGUGGCGAUUUGAUAGCUCACUUUGGAUGCGACCGAGUAACACCCUCGAGCUGUUGCUAAAAAUGGUCUUCCCAAGAUGAUAUUAUAGGCACCUGGGUAAUCCACAAUAAGAAAAUCAAUCAUAUGAACAACAUGGUGAGGUACCUUACCAAGUGUAACGGGCAGCAUAAUGAUGUCCUUUGGCAUAACUAUUUCGCCGGCAAACCCAAUAAGAGGUGUAGCACAUAGGGUGAUCUUUGCCGAUUCAAUCAAUAGUUGAUCCAAUGCGCUUUUGAAAAUGAUUUCAACGGAGCUGCUAGUGUCUACAAGAGUUAUUGCUACCUUACCAGUAGCAACCUUCAAUGUAAUUACUAAGAUGUCGUCAUGAGGGUACGAGACAUCUUCAGUAUCUUGCUCUAUGAAAAGGAUAGGCAGGGGAUGGUGGGGUACCCUAGGUACCCUAAGUUGAUUUUGACAAGCGAAGUUCACUUCUUUUCCAGGGCAAUCCAAAAUUGGUAGCUUGCUGUAACGUUUGAUGGCUUGUCUAAAUUCCCCCACGAGCGUAGGACCCCCGCUAUCAUUCGAAUAUACACGCCUUUCUUAGACCCCUAGGGUACCUCAGUUUCGGGAUUAGGGUUAGCAACUUGUUUACCCUUAUCUUGCUCCGAGACCUUCCUUGCCUCACGCAUAUCAGCCACAAAUUCCUUGAGAUACCCACUCAGAAUCAAUGACUCAAUUUCUUCCCUCAAGUAAAAGCAUUCGGUGGUGCUAUGGCCGAAAUCUUCAUGAAACUCACAAUACUUCAAGCUACGCUUCAUAUUGGGGUAUUUCCAAAUUGGCUCAGGUGGGCGAAGCAUCCCCGUAUCCCUAAUAUGGUAAAAAAUAUAUUCUAAAGAUUGAUUCAAAUGAUGGAAAGAGUCAUAUUAGGGUUUUUGUAGCGAUGGGCUAUGUACUCGGGGUGCUCGAGAGGGUACCUGAGAUACCCGGGGUACACCAGGAAUAUUCAGCCCUCUCCCACGUGGGGUUGGACGAGGUGGGCUGUGCACCCGGGGUGCUCGAGAUGGUAUCUGAGGUACCUCGACUCUCUUGGGUUUCUCCUUGUUUCUCACAACUUCGACUCUGUCUUCCUCCCGCUUUAGGUUACACUUCUCAUCUAUUUCUAUUUGUUGCAAGGCUCAAGAAUGAUCUUCUCCAUAUGAAAGAGGGCGGUGUUUUUGAAAUGACCGUCAUAACUUCCCCAAACGCAAAUUCUUUUCAAAAUGAAUAAGAGUAUGUUGGUGGCCAAACGUACCGGUACGCAACAUCUCUUGGUGGAAGUGGGUUACGUACUCGGCUAAAGACUCUGAAUCCCCUUGCUUGAUGAAAGCAAGCUUGGAGGAUGUUAUAUCUUGGGCGGAUGCAUAACCAAACUCAUGAAUAAAAUCUUUUAGGAGCUGGUCUAAGGAGGAUACACUACCUGCCUUCAACAAUCGGAACCAUGAUUUGGCUGGUCCGGUGAGGGUAUGCGGGAACAUCCGACACAUAGCAUUGUCGCUCACUCCUUUAAUCAUCAUCUGGUCACGAUACAACUCAGCAUGUUCCACGGGAUCCAACGUACCCGAGUAUUGUUGUAUUUGAGGCAUGGUGAACGCUUCCGGGAAAACCUCGAAUUACGUAAAGAGAAAUCUUUACGUAAUUCAACCCUAAUAGAAUUAAUUCCUACAAUAUUACAAUUCAAUAUCUCUACUAUUAAUUAACACAAGUCUCUCAAAGUAAAUCAGUUGAGGAAAAUUCUUCGCACAAAAUGACUUCACAAAUUUUAAUUUAUUAAAUUAAUUUGUUAAUAGAUUUUUAUUUUCUUAAGGUGACCCGGUGUUAGUAAUAACUCAAAAUUAUUUGGGUGUUUAUCAAACAUCAGGCGACAAUGUGCAAGUAAAUCCUCCAAUCCUAGGGCAAAGGAGACGCCCCUUCAGAAUGCAGAGCAUGCCAAGACACGAUUGGGAUGGCCAAAAAGAAGUUAAACGACGAGCAAUAUGGAUUGUUUAAAUUUUGAAAUGAGACUUACCGGGCUAGUUUAUACUUGUUAACUGUCAAGCACCAAAGUCAAAAAUAAUAAAAAAAAAUUACUUGUCAAGAAAAGGAUAAAAAGAUCAUCAAGUCCAUGAUCCGUGGAGGACUUAAAUAAGGUAUAUUUUAAGAGUGUUUGUAAAUUAGAUUUUAUAGAUUUGACAUUAAUUCAUAUCCAAUCCAUAAUUUUAUAGAUUGUAAAUUUUCAAUUCAAUCUGAUCCACGAAUUGAUGAAUUCAAUUCAAAUCCAAUACAUACAUUUGUGGAUCGGAUACUGAUUUAAUCCAAUUCAUAUCCAAUCCACCAUCUUGCGGAUUGGCCUGCGAAGUUCAUUCUAAAAACUAAUUAAACAAAAAAAUUAUUAUAAAAAUAAUUUUACCGAUAAAAUUUAAAAUUAAAUGAGAUUUAAAUAAAUUAAUUUUUUAAAUAAAGUUAGAAUAAUAUAUUCAAAGUUUCAAAAUAUAAUACGGUGAAAAAAAUAUUAUUUGUUUAAAUUAAUACAUGAAAAUUAACUAAAAUUAUAAAAAUUAACUGUUUAGAAAGUUAUAUUUGUUCAUCUAAUUAUUCAAUUAUUUAGUUAUGUUUAUUAUAUAUUAUUAUCAGAUAAGAUAUGUAUAGUGUUAACUAACUAUACUUUAACUUAUUUAUUUUCUAGUAAGUAGUAAUGUCAUAUUUAUUAUUUUUUAAUUAAAUAAAUUUUUAUUUUUUUAUUUUUUUACGGAUUCGCGAAUUUUUACGGAUUUACAAAAAUAAAUUUAUAUGCAAUCCACCGAUUACGAAUUUUCAAAAUUUCAAUCUAAUCUACCAAUCCACAAAUCGGAUUUUUACAAAUCAAAUUUUUACGGAUAAGAUGAAUUAUAUAGAUCGGAUUGAAUCCUAAACACCCCUGUUAUAUUCUGAAAGCUCUGGUCACUGAAUUCUUUUUAAUUAACUAGCAACAAGACUCGGAUGAUAAAAACCCUGUCAUGCCAGUGAUAAAAUCCAUCUCACUCCUCACACAAGUCUUUCGAUUCAUUUCUCCUCAAAAAGAAAAAAAGAAGAAAAAAAGGAACUUGACUAAUUUACAAUACACAUUAUAAGUAGUGAGUGAUACGUUACGUAAUACGCAACAACUUUUAAAAAGUUUUUCUCAACACGAUUUGCUUAAUUAAUUUAAUCAAGUAUCAAAGGUGACGAAUAUUUAAUUUUCCAGCUGAUCAUGCAUCGACGUCGGAAUCGUCAUAGUGAUGGUACCAGCUGGAGUAUAAAUCAUAUGGACCCAGAGAAGCCGUCUUCUUCAGGAUCUUGGGAAUGCUGAAUUGCUUGCCAAGAGUUGGCUUUGGCAGGCUCUUCCCCUGCCUGAGGGUACGUUUCUUUUUCCCAUUGGCUUCUUCCAGAUCAUCUUCCUGAUUAUCAUGAUCAUCGCCACGUGCACCCAUCUCGAUGCCAUCUUUCACCUUGUGGGCGGAUCUUUCUUUAACCGAGUCCAUUGAUUUUGUUGGUAACGGUGUCUUGUUCUUGUAAAUCAUGUAGAGAAUCAACUGAGCUGCACCCAAGACGAACCCUACGGCAUUUGGCACCUGAAAUUGUUUUGAUUAAUGUAAAAACCUGUAGACAGCCAGUAGGUACGAUAUUAAUUAACUCAGGAUAAAGAAGAUUAAAGAGACAACUCACUCCGAUGUAGAUGUCUUUCACAAGCACGGAAUAAACUGACCAUACGCCGGCAUUGAGAAAUAGGAAAAAUGAGAGCAAAAAUGGCAUGUACUUCACACUCUUUGUCCUUAUCACCGUUGUCUGUCAAAUUUGAACGUGAAGCAUAAAAAUUUCAAUGUACUACAAAAUUAAAUACAAAAUUAUUGUUGGUUUUGUAAUAGUUAAUAUAGAAUGCAAUGCAGGCACUUAAGUUUUGUUUAGAUCAUGAGGAUUCUAAGUCGAUUUUGGAAAUGACAGUGUUUAGAUACUGACACGAACAGUCGAAGUUGUCUAGCUAGCUUACCAUGACUGCUAGAGGAGAUGCAUACAUGCCAAUGGUUAAUGCAGCGCAUAAGAUUCCAACAAAAGUAAGCCGCAAAUUUCCAUGCAUGGCUAGAAGUGUUAUCGCAAUCACUGCCCCGAGGAAGCCAACAUCUAAUAUUGCUACAAGUUUCGCCGUCUUAACCUGAAAAUCACAAGAACCAGUGAGUAGCCAGUUUGCAAUUUCAUCCAUCUCUCAUUACAAUUUUAAUUAUUAGGGAAGAAUCAGUGAAAAACUGUAGUGUGAUUAUUGAUAGUUGUAAUCAUAUCAGGUUUGUGAUAGCGCAGUCAAAUAGUUUGGACAUAGAAAUUAAUGAUCAAAUUUAUUUCUAAACUUCUAAAAGAAAAAUCAAUAUCCACAAUACAUAUGAGAGGAUUUAAUUCUUCAAUCUUAAGAAUAAGGCAGUGAGGUGUCUUCCCACUCAACUAAGGAGUGGUUAUCAUGAAUAUAUCUUAAUGCCCCUUCCAAUUAAGUCACUAAUAGUACAUUGAUAAGAAAAACAGUAAGUGAAAAUUGAGUCAACAUCAUUAAUAGGCCAUGGUUCAUAACUUUAUUAAUGUUUCUAGAAUUAUCUUUUCAUUUUAUUUAAGGCCACAAGAGUUUCUUCAACACGUGGAUAUGUAGGGGGCGGUGUGAGACUUACCCAUAAAUGCAAAAACAUGUAACGUGAAAACAAAAGAAAGUAUUAUAAUUGAAUUGUGAGAGUAACCUUCUUAUCCUUGGGAGCAUAAAUGAGAUAGAGAGAAACAUAAAUGAACUGCAAAGCGGCACCGGCCCCAUUGACUGUGGCAACAAGCAAACCACCUGGCUUCAUAACACCAUAGAAUGUCCACAAACUUGUGCUCAUUAGAGUCGUUAUGUAUGGAACCCCCUUGUAACUCUCCGUAGAUUUCUUCUUCACAAUUUGCCAAAAUGUUUUUCUGGAAAAUGAAUUAUUAUAGCCAAAUUAUGUUCUAGCUUAUGAUAGAUAAUACAAUAAAGUGACCAAGCUAGCCUUCGUCAGCACCAGUGGUCUAGUGGUAGAAUAGUACUCUGCCACGAUACAGACCCGGGUUCGAUUCCUGACUGGUGCAUUAUAUAAUAUUUCAAUAUUUUUAAAGUAAUUUAACAAAAAUUCUUUAAUAUGAACAUUUUAGCUCUGUAUGCUGCAAUAUAUAUAUAAAUUCGUAGUAUUUUAUUCAAAAAAUAAUUUACAAUAUGAAAAGUUGAUGUCUGUACAUUUUAAAAUAUUAUGAUGAGGUUAGAUAAUAUUAUCUGAUUACAACUAUAUAAUAUUAUCUAACCUUAGGAUAAUAUAUAGAUUGAAGUAUAAACUUUUUCUAUAUAAAUAUAAAAAGAGAAAUGUUUUCAUCACUACUUAAAAGUUUGUAAAAGAUCCCAUUAAGUGUGUCACUAAAUUAAAUUUGGAAAAGAAAUAUAGAAAGUGGAGGAUAACCACAGAAGAUGGAGUGGAGACAGUGGACCUCCCAGUACUUCAAUUUAAAGAAGUUAUCUUCAUUUUUUAAUUUUUAAACUUUUCCACGUAAAAACUGAAAAUAGUCACAUCAUUUUACUACCGUCAAAAUCUUAAACAACCAGAGUGUGUUUUGUAGUUCUCCUUCAUUUUUUAGGAUUUUCUUAAGAUUUUAAAAAGAUACAGAAUCCAAAAAUUUUCAUAACCUGCUGCAAAUUUGAUUUAUUAAUCUGCAGAAAAUAUAUCUUGUAAUUUUAACCUUUAAUGCACAGAGAGUAGACAAGCUAGCUGGCUACUUUGAAUUUAAAAGCCAUGCACUUUCAGUUUACAUUUCUUCAGCUGAUUCUACAAUUUACUUUAUAUUCAAAAGAAACGAUAAAUCAAAUAUUGAAUUUCAUACACAGUUAGUUUUACUUACAUGGGAGAAGCAAAAACCAAUAGCGAAAUUACAUUGCCUGCAUAAAAUCAUUAGAAAUAAAAUACCCAUCAAAGAUAAUGAACAAAAUUUCAACAAAAGGAGCUUUACACAUAUAAGGGAUGAUUAAUGGAAAAAGAACUAAUACAAUUAUUACCAAUAAUACCGACGAAGAAGCUUAAGCUAGCCAUGGAAGAACUAGAAGAGAAUAAAGUGCUGAAGAUGAAAUUAUGAAGCGGCCGCGAGUGAGAGGCGGAUGUGAUGUGAAGGAUAUCGACUACGUAGAUACAUAUAAUGUGUACAUGUGGCGUAUGAUUGAUGAAGGUUGUCGAUAUAAAAUUUUAACUCCCCCAUUAUUCAUCUAUAAUGCACAUCAGCCGUCAGAAUUUUGCCACGUUUUGCAUUCUUGUUGUUUUGUAUGAUUGCAUGCGGACCGAGUACCGACAUCGUUUACUAUUGGGGUGAUGUACUUUUGCGAACUGGAAUUGUGGGUUUCCUUGUCAUUGUUUGUUUUGUGUCAAAAUCUUAUUACAGGGAAAAGCCUUUCGGUUACUCAGAAUGUUGUCUUAUAUAAACCUAAUUUAAGACACGAAACGAUGGAAAAAAAAAAAAACUUCUAAACAGAACUAACUCAUUUUAAUUAUUUUGUUUUCCAUUUGCAUAUACAUGCAUCUACAUUUGGGCUUAAUUUAUCGAUUCCUUUUUCUUGCAUUUAGGUUUAUUUCAUCAUUAUUAUGCAUGUUUGUUGCGGAAAAAGGAGGAAAGCUCUGUAUUCCUAAUUCUCCCGUAAUUGGAUUUUCUGAAACCAUAAGAAUUUUUCGUUAGAAUGAGAUUUCAACAUAGCAUCUUUUUGAGAAGAGUUGCUCUUCAGAGAACACAGUAUAAUAAUAAAUUGUAAACAUAUUUUAGAAAAUUUAUAAUAAAAAUGUCUAGAUUGAAUUGAAAUUAAUUUUUUGAAAACUGAAAUAUCCUUGUGAAUAUAAUAACAUGUUAGUAAAAUCACUCAAAAACUCAAUUAUUGAGUAAACGAUGGAACAUCAAUAUUGAGUUAAAGUAUAACAUCGCAUAUGUAAUCUAGUAUCUUAAACAAUACCGUCUUGUACGAGCACUUGAAACGACUUUAAAUAAUUUUGUGAUAACAAAGAUAUUUUUGCAUGAUGUAACUUUAGAUAUGAUUUAAAAAAUUAAAAUUGUUUUUAAAACAUUCAUUAACCUCUUACCAAUCAACAUUUCAAAUGUACUUUGUAAGAAAAUCCUUCACAACACGAGUUAAGUAAAUUCAAAUCAGGAGAGAUCUAACUUACUCAAAAUAAUUUCAGUAUGCAAUCUCAAAAAUAAUUUAAUUUAUGUACCCUUAAAUGCUCAUUCAAAAAAAAAAAAUGUUAUCAUCCCAUGAUCGUUUUAUAAUCUAAAAUUCUCCAAUGUACCCUUAACACAGACGAGGAAGAUAAUCUGUUCUUUCAACAAAGUUGAUGUAAUCUUUUACAUUCUUGGGGAGCCAUCAAAGUUGACCAUACGACUUAAUGAAUAAUUAAAAAUCGGUAGUGUAGGGUUAAGUUCCUUUCAUACGCCACGGGGCAAAUUAUUGUGUUGGUGGCUUGUUGCGUUUGAGUUUUGAGAUGGAAGUGACACAAAGGGUUGCUUAUCUUGUCUGGACAAAUUAGUCACGAAAGCCAUCCUCAAACCAUUGAGUAAUAGUUGAACUUCAAUUAAUUGAUAUAACAACUCCACCCCCGUGAUGCCAAAUUGCGUUUUAUCUCUCUUUGCCUGAUGAACAAUUUUGUUUGCUAGUUACUGAGCUAAAAUAAAAAUCAUAAUUGAUUAUCAGGAUCUCCGUCCUCUAAAUCUCUACAUAUUGUGUUACAAUAUAUUUCGUUUUCUUGUUGCUUUUGUCUACGCACAUGUAUCACAAAAUUCUACCGAAAAUGGUGCGUGACACUUGAGAACUCAAUACUCUCUGUCACAUUUCGGUUACUUUUUGUUGAGGGCCGUUUUUAACACCCCUCUAAAAUCUUUAUAAUACUUAUUUUGAAUGUUAUUUUUUAAAACACCAUCGGUUUUAUUGACAAGAUAUAAAUUCGUAUAUUAAAAUUAAUCAUCUUUCCACAAAAUUUUACUCAAAAAAAGAUGUCUCUUUUUAAGUCGCUUACAAUUCUAAAAUAUUAAAUUUACCUUAAUUUUCUCUUCUUAUUAUAUAGUUUGUAUCGUUAUAAUUCUAACUUUUUUUUUAAUUUUCUUAAAAAGAUAUUUUUUCAAUUAAAACUUAAAAUUAGAAUAUAAAUUAUGAAACAGGAUGGGUGUAAAAAGUUUGUUAAAAGAAUAAUUUAUCUAAGUGUUUAGUUGAACUUCUGUUAAAAAAAAAAUGAAAUAAUUUGUAUUGGGUUAUUUAAGUAACUUCCAUUAAAAAUAAAUUUAAGAGGAAUUUUGAGGAAGGUGAAAAGGCUUAACUCUUCUUUGUUAAUGUCGGCAGGCCCGUUUAUUUUCUAAGCCCAAAUUUCACGUUCGUAAAACUAGCAGAUGGGCCCAAUGGGAAACCGAAUCCGAUUCGUGUAAAGCAGCGCGGGCCGACUCUUGCACCAAAGCUGGGCGUUCAGAGCUCAUAAAGCUGUGAUUUUUCAACUGUCGCAAAGAAUCGGCAAAAGAGCAACUCAAGCAAGAAGAAGAGAGGCUUUAGAUCGAACCCAACACACCAAAAUCCUUCUACUUCAGUAUUUCAAGCUUUUUUCUUCAAAACAACAAUGUUCAAAAAGUAAUUUUUUCGUUCUUUCUCUCUCUUUCUCUUUUAAUACCUAAAAUGAUACAUGCACUGAUUUUUCCAUUUUGUUUUUUUUUUUUUGAGUGUAUGUGUGGUUCACUUCUGGGUUAUAGUUUGUCUUGCCAUCUGUCAUAAAUUGCUCUUUCUUAUAUACUUCGGUGUAUAAUUGCAUUGACUAUUUUUUUGUUCUGUUUUUAAAUGCUAUUGUCAGCUAUUGAUUUGCUUGCAAAUAAAAUAAAAAAAUAAAAAAUAAAGGUUGCGGCUUGUUUUGUGAGGUUAACUUUGGUUGGGCAAUUUAGUUUUUAGGUGGGGUGCUUUAGAAUAUUUGAAAACAUGCUUUGAUAAUUGUGUGUGAUUGUUUAACUAUAAGGUGGUUGCAUGUUUAUCGUGUUUGUGGUGGUAUUUCGUUUCUGUGAUUUCUUUAAAUUUUUUUUAAUUUCUAUCACAAUAUUUUUCUGCUAGUAAUGUUACAUUUGGUUAGUGUUUUUGGAAUUGGGAGACUUAUAUUUGUCGCUGGGGAUUUGUUUACCAUUUUAUUUAUGCUAAUCCUCCUGUUGAGUUAAUUACCCUCACCUGCCUCGAAUGCAUUCCAAAUUUCACACGGAUUGGGGUUUCUGUAAGAUGGUGUAUCGAGACAUAUCUAUUCUGGAUCAAUUCUCAUUCUCUUGUAUACGAGAAUCUUUAUAUGCACGCCAGAAUUUUUAUGAUAUGUUGUUUGUGCAUAAGUAGUACACAGUGACUGAGGAGACCAGAAAGUGUAUCGUGAUGAUACAUGUUGUUGUCAUUUACAAGGAACAAAUAGGCUAUGAAUAUGAUAUGUGUGAAAUCCCUGAUGGACAUGUUAUGCUUGUAGUCAGUUGGGUCCUUUUAGUGUAUAUUUGUUUGAAGUUGGCUAUUCUAAGAAUUUGCUUGCAUUUAUGACCAUAUGGUCUUUAAUCUAGAUUUUUUCACUCCUUUGUGUUCAUACGUGCAGCACAUAUUUCUAUUUAAUGAAUACAAUUGCUUCUGUUGGUAAGAAUAAUAACAUGCUGUGUGUCAUGUAUAAUUUUUUAUCCUGUAGGUUUUCGGCGGAAGAAGUGUCGGCACAGAACCAAGUCAAGGCAUCUGUCCAGCGCAAAAUUCGGCAAAGCAUUGCAGAUGAGGUAUGGAUUGUGGAUGCUUUGGGCUUUUUAUUUUUCUGAUUCCAUUCUAUAUAAUAAGCUAUUUGUUUAUUCAACAAAAGUUUCACUUCUAGUGCAGUACCCAGGACUUGAGCCAGUGUUGGAUGAUUUGCUUCCUAAGAAGUCUCCUCUGAUUGUUGCUAAAUGGUUUGUAACUUUCUUUCUCCUGUUUCUGUAUUAAUUAUUCAUCAGACUGUUCGUUUCUUGAUGUUCAUUUCUAGAAUUUAUAAAACAUAUUUCUGACUUCUCCUUCUCCCGUUCCUUGCAGUCAAAAUCAUCUGAAUCUCGUUCUGGUGAAUAAUGUUCCGUUGUUUUUCAAUAUCCGUGACGGGCCUUACAUGCCUACGCUAAGGCUCCUUCAUCAAUGUAAACUUUUUCUUUGUUACCAUACUUCUUUUCUUACAAUUGCAUGCUUUUGCCAAAAUUAAUUACUUGAUCACUGAAAGUUUUUUUUUUCACUCCUGUAACAUGAGGAUUUAAUUGUCAUUUAUUUGGAGGAAAUCUUCAGUUAAUUAUUAGGAGGAACUUGUACAUAACUCUCUGCUUGCAGUUCUCACUAUAUACAUACAAAUAGUUAUUUAUGUGCCAUUUUGGUUAUUGAUAGACAAGGGAAUCGGGGAGAAAAGAAACUCCUUCGAGGAUUGAGCUAAUUGUUUAUUAGAUAAGUGUUUGGCAACCAUUUUACUUUCUCUUUUAGACAGUUUGAACAAUAUAUAAGCAAGUUUUGUGGAAUCAAAUUUGAAUCAGGUUGAUCUGCCUCUUGCUCCCCUAACUUGCCCUCAUUCAAAGCAUUCUUUAAUCCUUUUACACUUCGUUUAGCUGGAGAGAACUAGGUGACUGGGAAAUGGGUGAAACAAAAAGGGCAAAGGGCGGACAAUUGACCCUGUUUGGUUGGGGAAAAACAAUGAGCAAGAAGGCGAGGGCAAGAAUGUGCAGUCUCUCCAAAUCCACUUAUAUAUUGGGAGAAAGAGGGACAGAAAGACUUAGGCUAAUUAAGGGAAAAAAGUCAUUGUAUGCUUUUACAGAUCUUACAUAAAGUUCUUUAGACAGUCUUAAGUUUGAUUUUUCUGCUGCCUUGCUCAUACUCCAUCAUGACCCUUGAAUUAUGCAUCUAUAAAGUGCCAGCUGAGACUUAAAUUUCUUGCUUGGACACUGUCAUUACAGAUCCAAAUAUAAUGAAGAAGUUACAAGUAGACCGGGGUGCCAUAAAGUUUGUCCUUUCUGGUGCAAACAUAAUGUGCCCUGGUCUUACAUCACCCGGUGGAUCUUUGGAUGAAGAAGUUGGAGCAGAAACUCCUGUGGUAUGAAUUGUCCAUCUCUCUUUCGAUCUGUGGUGCUAAAUUACUUUGCAUUGCUUAGUGUUGUGAUAUGCUACUUAAAUGUCAUUCUAUUCUUCUUGUGCCUUUUUUCCCCGUUUUUUAAAGUUUGAAGGAUAUAAUAUGAGGUUGCUUACAUUGUUUUAUGUCUCCGUACCGUGCAAAAUUGACACUCACAGGCCAUAAUGGCUGAAGGAAAGCAACAUGCUCUUGCUAUUGGGUUUACAAAAAUGUCAGCUAAAGACAUGUAAGUUGUUGUCUAACCUUUUCUUUUAUAAAUAUUUUCAAGUUAGUGUGUUGAAGUGGUGGUUGGAGUUUGAACCAUUUCCCAUUUUGACCUGAAAUCUCAACUCUUGAAUACAGGGAUAGAUUAAUAUGUUUUUAUAUCCCAUUUGUGUUACAUUGUCUAAACCUUUAUUUACUUCUUCUAUUCCAAUCAUUCUACCAAAUAGAUCCUAUAUGCUGGCUUGUUGGUCUUUUUGUGCAUUUCCCCCUGCAUUCAAAAUUCCGACAGCUCUGUCUCAAAUGACUCAGUAUCUUAAAGCGACAAGUGGUAUUCAACUUGUACCUAGAAAUGAGACACUUCAAUGAGAAUGUUACAAAUCUCCAUAUUAAGUGCUUGCAAUGAACUUAGCAUUAGAGGUUCUGUAGUGUUUCCAAAUCAAACAAACACGAGCAGGAAAGAAUAUUUGUUAGCUACGGGUAGUUUACGUUCAUAUCAAAUCUAAAAUGACCAUCCAUUUCCCUUUCUUCCAAUUGGUAUAUUAUCAUUAAGUUUGACUUGUUUGCUUGGUUUACAGAAAGGCAAUUAACAAGGGAAUCGGGGUGGAUAACAUGCAUUAUCUCAAUGAUGGCCUUUGGAAGGUAAGUUGGAUAUGAUCCUUCCCUUUCUGUUUACGUUUCUCCACAUGCAUUUUACUGCUGUUAUUUCUUUCUCUUGAGAAUAGUGCAAAAUUUCUUUAUUCUUAUGAAAGGGGGGGAAAAAAAGAAAAAAACCUUUUUAUGUUUAUCUUGAUUGCAGAUGGAGCGUCUAGAAUGAGGAUGUGCCAAGAGCAGCAGCAGUACCAUUCUUGUAACAGAAGAAAGAACUUAAAUUAUAUGUUUCAUCUUUUUGCUGUUACUUUUUUUCUGUUUUUCCCCUAACUGUUUGUUUCCAAGCUAAACGAGUUGCGAAAAUUCUCCUAGUGUUGUUUCUCUGUCUCCUUACGGAGGAGGAACCCUUUUUUCGAGUAUAGAUUAAUGUUCUAAAAGUGUUAUCAUACAUAUUCCUUGUAAAUGGUGAUUCUUGGAUUCCAUUUGAUCAAAUUAAUGCAAGUUGGUUCAUGAGCAGGUUUUCUUUUCCAAAUUUUUCAUUUACACUUAGAAGCCAUAAUAGAAAAUGCUCCCAUGGAGUCGAAAUAAUUUUAAAGCUCCCUGUUUAGUGGAAUUUCCGUAGUUUCUUCAAGUUACAGUCAGUGAAUACAAAAAUAUUUCUGGCGAGAAAUGGUAAAAAUGAUGAAAGCUUAUUACGAGCUUGCACGAAUGCAUAAACGCCUGCCUAGUGUUUGUUGAAGAUAUUUCUCGGCAAUUUCUCUUCUUUGAAGAGAAAUUUCUGUCUGCUUAAGAGGGAAGGAAAAUAUUUCCUCUAAUAAAGGGCGAAAGAAACCUUUCCAUUAAUUAAAAAAAAAAAAUUCAACAUUUUUUGUUGUAAAGAUUCUCUUGACAGUUGACGCCUGAGAUUUGAAGUUCCAAUUCAGUUCUUAUCAAAGAUUUAAACAUCGCUUAUGGAGUAAUAUUAUAUUACAAAAUUUUUGUAUAAACUGAUAUGUCAAUAUCAAUAUUAUAUUAUAUCACACAUCUCACAUUUUCAAGGAAAUAAAAUAAGAUGAAUAAUGUGAGACAUUUAAUAAUCAUACAACAUAUCACAUCUGUUUGUACAUGACUUUGUGUAUACCUAUAAUAGAGAUUAGAGAGUGAAAAAAAAAAAAAAAAAGGUCUUAUUGACAAUAUUUUUGUCUUUUGGACUGGGUCAGAAUCCCGAACAAAGCCCACUUGUAUUUAGUGGACAGAACCCAUUUAUCCAAGAAUAAAGGUCCACCAAGCCCAAUAAAACCGAGCGGAAACACAAAACCCACCUAUAAAAUAUUUCUCAAAACCCUACCUCCAUUUUCGUUUCCAUCAAAAAACACAUCGAACACUUACCCGCCGCGCCAGCGCCCAGCCACUCGCCAACCGUCGCCAUGGUAACUUCUCUCUGUGUAUAUGUGCUGAAGCAAUUCUAGAUUUCAAUUAAAAAUAAUAAUAAUAACUUAAUGCGUCGUCGUUUCAGGGUAUCGAUUUGGUCGCAGGAGGUAAGAGCAAGAAGUCCAAGAGAACCGCUCCCAAGUCCGAUGAUAUCUACCUUAAACUACUCGUCAAGGUCUGUAUUUUUGUCUUAACGCGCAUUAUAUGUGACAAAUUUGUACUUAAUCACUCUAAAAUUUAAUUUUUUUGAUUUAUUUGUAAUGUGUGAUUUUUGUUUGUUUUAGUUGUACCGGUUUCUUGUUCGAAGAACCGACAGCAACUUUAAUAAAGUGAUUCUGAAGAGGCUGUUUAUGAGUAAAGUCAACAAGCCACCACUUUCACUCUCCAGGCUCAUUAACUUCAUGAAGGGAAAGGUUAAUCUCUGUCUCUCUCUCUCUUGUUCUUCAUUUUGUGCAGUAAUUUUUCGUUUUGAUUACGAUUUAGUUGGUGGGUACGAUUAUAUGUUAUGGGUAUUUUUUAGAUCUUGGUAAUAUGAUGAUUUUGAAUGUGGGCCUUUGUUGGUUUUGUGAUUGAAUAGGAGGAUAAGAUUGCGGUGGUAGUGGGGACAGUCACCGAUGACAUUAGGGCUUACGAGGUGCCGGCAUUGAAGGUUACUGCUUUGAGGUUUACUGAGACUGCAAGAGCUCGGAUUGAGAAGGCAGGCGGAGAGUGCUUGACUUUUGAUCAGCUUGCUCUCAGGGCUCCAUUGGGACAGAACACGGUAUGUGUUUUUAAUGCAAAUUAUUGUUUACCGAUAAUGUUGUUGAUUAUUACUUUUGCUGCUGAUUUCACAUGGUUAUGCAUUAUUUUAACUAUGCAAGUCAUGCGGUAGAUUCAGUAAAAUGUUGGCUAGAUUUGGAGAAAAAUUUGUUGACUUUGGUAUAAUUGUUCUGUUUUGUGUUCAAAGUAAUGAUUCAUUUUUGUGAGCCUCACUUUGUAUGCAAUGAUACAUCGGCUGCAGUUUCAUGUUCAAUGAAUAUUGUUGUUACUUAAUUCUGUUAUUUGGUUCAGUUGCUUGUAAAUUCAAUGUAGCAUGGAUUUUCUACUUCUGCAUUAACUUGUUAUUUAUCCACUUGCAUCAGUAAAUGAUGGAAAUUGAGAAGUUAUUGCUUGUUUUUUUAUAAUCAUACCAUCAGUUACAGAAUUGGUAUCCACAUAUUUCUUUGAUUGUGGUUUUUGCUGCAAGUGUUUUCUUAGUGUGAUGGCUUUAUUUUCUGUAAAGCAGUAUCUUGGAGUAGCUUCGGUGAUUGAUAAUGAGUUUGUUGGUAAACAGGUCCUUCUUAGAGGUCCAAAGAAUGCCCGUGAGGCAGUGAAGCACUUUGGUCCAGCUCCUGGCGUACCACACAGCCACACCAAGCCUUACGUGCGAUCAAAGGGAAGGAAGUUUGAGCGUGCUAGAGGAAGGAGGAACAGCAGGGGUUUCAGAGUUUAAGUUUACUAAAUUGUGAGGCAGUUGUGUCAUUUCUUACUUUCGUGAUUGAAAUUUUGCUAGACUCUAGGUAUCAAUUAUGGUUCCCUAUUUUUCUUACUGUUGGUUUAAUUACCAUGACAACGGAUGCCUUGUUUUGAGAUGCAAUUUUAUUACUUUCAAUUAUGCAUUGGUGUUUUUCUAGUCUACCCUUGGUGCCCGGGACUCGGCAGAGGCAUAUUGAUUAUUAUCUCAAUUGGCUGAUAAAUCCAAAAUCCAGUCUCCCUUUCUAAAUGGUGAUUUUAUUAAUACUGAAUGGUGAUGUUUUGAAGACCCAACCUAAUUAAUAACGGUUGUGAAAUGGAACAAGUAUGAUGUAUUAAAAAUUCGUAUUGUAUUAGACAAUGGAGAAGCCAACGGAUAAAAUAGUUCAGGCGACGAAAAGAAUUUCCAAUAGAUAAUAAAUUUGCCUGCAAAGUGAGCUUGAAUAUGAAUAAAAGCAGCAGUGAAGAUAGAGGACCAACAAUUUUCCUUUUUCUCCACAAUUUUUUUCCUGCGUCUUAUAAAAUUGAAAUAAAACAGUUGAGUGCGGAGAUCUAAAAGUAAGCUUGAGAAGGUUGAUGGAAAAUUUGAUGGUGUGAUAAAAGACUUGGUGAUAUAAGAAGGAUACACGCUUUGUUUGCUGUUGACUGCAGUAAUUGAGAACUCACAGCAGUACAAGGAUUAAAGAAUACUAAAAUUACUUGGAAAUUUAUUCACGUCCAAAUAAAAAUUACUAUGGGAAGGUCCUGUUAGUUCAAGGAAGCCACGGAGGGGGUUAAAAAAAAAAAAGCGACUCUGGCCUUUUCCUUUCUAAAACAUUCUAUAAAAUACUUUUGCUCCAUUUUUGCGGUAAAUGCAGUACCAAGUAUUAAAUGCCUUUUUUUUUAUGUUUUAAUUUGAGGCUAUUUUUAUUUUCAAAUUACUGAGUGACAGGAUGAAAUUAUUCCAAUCAAUAGCCUCCAACAACUGGAAUUUGUGAUUCUUGAGCAAAUAUAAAAAUCUGUACUGCUGCUGCAGUGCAGAUUAAAACUUCUUAAUGAAGUCAAGAAUCUGAGCGUUGACCUCCUCUGCUUUUUCUUGGUGGAUGAAGUGACAUGCAUUUCCAAUCACAACAAUUUCCUCCAGCAAUGGCACAUUCUUCUUGAAAUCCCCACUUUGUACGUAUUGCUUCAUCCCAGGUGUCGUAUACAAAUUAUCCAUUUCCCCAACAAUAAAUUUCUGCAGUUCAAAUAUAACAAUUAGACCAUUUAACUAUUAGCAAAUACAAUCAUAAGCCGUUAGUGUCGCUUAAUUUUACAAGAACUCUUCUGUUAUUAGAGCAAUGAUAUUUUGACAGAAAUGUUUGACAGAAUAUGCUGACAGAAACAACGGCACAUCGAUUCGGUUUACCUUACUAAUUGAAAAGUAAUCAAUUAACAGAUGUACCGUUAUUUCUGUUAGAACCCUGUCAGCCUCCAGUUUCUUUAUCAUUCUUCUUAUCUUUAAUGUUAUUAUAAAAAACUUACAAAUCUAUUGCCCGGUAGUAGUUCAAUCCCCCAGUGAAUCCUGUCUGGUCAAAUUUGGUAACGUAGUAAUUAAAUUCUUCUUCGGAAAGCCAGAAGGGUAAGUUGAUCGUUUCACGGGCAAGAUGGGCUAUGGCGUCUUCAGAAAUGAUAGGAGGACCUGGUCUCCGAGUUGUCAGGGAACUCGCAAGCAUCAAUUUGGAACCAAUAUGAGCAAUCCCUGCUUCAAGCACUCCAGGUUCCUGUAUCAGCAGGUGCAACCAAAUUCAAAUUUAAAGCCAAUAACUUGCAUGUGAAAUCCGUACGUAUUGGAUAAAGAACAUUAUAAGAAAGAGCGCCCAAACCUGAAAUUUGCAAAUGUAGAAAUUGUCUCCAUACAUGGCUCUCAAGGUUUCAACGGGCUUCAAGUUUGGAUCCGUUGGCAGAUAAGGCAUGCCAAGGCUAACAAAGCUCUUCACUCUUUCUGGCCUAAACAGACAAAGAUGCCAUGCAAUUAUGGCGCCAAAAUCAUGUGCCACGACAAACACUUGCUCAACACCGAGAAAAUCAAUCAGCGCAAUUAUGUCACCAGCAACAUGAAAGCAAGUGUAGCUGGUGAAUGAGCUGCUAGGGACUUCAGUGUCGCCGUAGCCACGAAGAUCCGGGGCAACGGCACGGUAGCCGAGGCAGCUUAAGGCAAGAAUCUGGUGGCGCCACGCGUACCAAAACUCGGGGAACCCAUGAAGGAAGAGUACAACAGGAACUUCUCCUUUCUCUGCUAUGUGUAUUUUUAUGCCAUUUACAUUCACUGUGCUGUGCUUUAUCUCAUCCAUUUUUCUUCUCUUUGUACAAUAUUUUUCUCUUAAUUCUUUCCUCUAUAUAUAUAGGAAGUUGCUGCCACCUAAAUACUUUUUCCUUCCACAACUGUGGACGUGGUAGAUAUCACUCAAAUAAUAUUUACUCAGAACCAGAUUUUUUAGUUGUACGAUGAAAAAUUUAUAUUAUCAUUAUUAUUUUUUAUAAAAAUUAUUAUUUAAAAUUUUAUUUACUACACACUAUUAAUUUUUGUUUUAUAAUUAUAAUUUUUUUCACAACUAUUGUGCCUUAAAAAUUAUAACACUUAAAUACCAAAUAUGGGUUUAGUCUUGUUAGAUCUUUGAAUUAUACUACAAGUCUAUAUAGUCAAACAACCUACAUUUCUCUCCAUUCAUAUGAGUGGUCUUUGAACCCUAAAUUACUUAUUUCCACUAAAGAUUUUAUUAAUUAAACAAGUUGUCAUCCACAAUAUUAUGUAUAAAUAUGUUUAAGUAUUGUUCAUAAAAUUUUGCAUCUAUUUUUUAACAUAUGCUGUGUGGACCUUUGGCAACACGAUGUGAAGUUCUUCUAGGUUGAUUCAAUGGUUUAUAAAAUAAAAAAUUAUGGCGGCAAUUGAUGUUCAUACGCAUAACUAUUUUUCUUAUUACUUAGUUCCUAUACAUGAGAUUGUAUCCUAUACAAACGUUGAGAGAAAUUGGGAGAGUUUUUUGUUUAGCACACCAAAAAUGUUUUCUGGAGUAGUUAAAAAGUUAACGAGUCAACAAAGAACAAUCGUUAUUAAAUAGUUGAAUUCAAAAUUUUUGAUGGAUGAUAUGAUUCACAAAGUGAUAAAAUCUUUGAAAGCAAUCGAUUGUUUCCUUAAUUUGUCAUCAUCAUGUUACUUUGUUUCCCCCUAUAUAUAAAUAUUUCAGGCAAAAUUUGUUAAAUAAGUGAUUUGCUUCUUAUUUGUCAAUGCCCCUAUAGCUCAGUGGCAGAGUUUCAGUCUUGUAAACUCUGAUGGCUGAAGGUCGGUAGUUUGAUCCUGCAUGGGGGCAUUUUGGUAAAAUUUUCGAACACUUAUAGCAUGGUAAAAUCCACCAAACAUUACCUAUAGUUACGAGGGUCAAGUUAGUUCAUUAACAAUUAAUUUUUGACAUAACAGGAUAAAUCAAUGUUGGAACAGGGUUAUUUGCACUCAAAUAUUGAACACUCUCAUUAACUUAGUGAAAGUUAUGUGUUAUAAAAUUACAUGUUAUUUAAUUUGAUCUUAAAGUUAAAUAUACCGUUGUCGACACUCAUUCAACAAACGAUCAUCUUAUUAAAAACCUAACCUACUGUAGUUAGUUCACUGACACGGUGUCCUGGAUGGUGUGUCGCUGGUCACUACCCUGUCCAAAUUUCAUAUUAGUAAACUUUUGUAAGAUUGUGUAAAUGAAAACAUUUUUCAUACAAUUUUUUUUUUUGGUAAAGCUGUUCGUGUUGAUCUUCACGAGAAUAAGAUACCAAGGACCAUAAUUUUCCCAUUAAAGGUAACAAAGCUUGAGAUGAUCAUGCAUCCUAAUGAACUUGAAAGACACAGCUUGGAAACAGCUUGCAUAUAAUUAAAACUUCUUAAUGAAAUCAUAAAUAUGAGCGUUGAUUUCCUCUGCUCUUUCUUGGUUGAUGAAGUGACCAGCAUCUUCAAUCACAACAAUUUCCUCCAACAGAGGCACAUCCUUCUUGAAGCCUCCAUUGUGUACAUAUUCCUUGAUGCCUGGGGUGGUAUACACCAUAUCAAGUUCCCCGACAAUAAACUUCACUGGAACUUUCACUUGCACCUCAGUCCAUGCAGCCGUCAUCUCCCAAUUUCUGAAGAGAAUGAUUACUAGACAAAUUAGCGAAAAAAUUUCAGUGCAUAUGCCCGCACUUCGUAAAAUGUAGAUUUAAUCAAUCUAUUGUCCUUUGUACUCUUUUUUUUUAAAAAAAAUAAUAUGCAUGCAGUUUUGGUUGCACGGCUCAAAUAUGCAAUUUGUAGAGUGCAGACGUAUGUGAGAGAGAAGGGGGCGGGGAGGGAGAACAAAAUAGUUUAAUUGUAAGGAGCUAACAAAUUCAUUGCUCGGUAGUAGUUUAGAGCCCCAGUAAAGCCUGUCUGGUUGAAUUUUGUGGCAUAGAAACUAAGGUCUUGUUCUGAAAACCAUGAGGGCAGGGUGACUCGAUUUUCAGGAUCGAUUCCGAAGGCAUUUUCUUCAGGAAAGCAACUUGGACCUGGCUUGCGAUUUGCCAGAAUAUUCUUGAGUACUUCUGCUGUACCAACUUGAGCAAUCUGUGCUUCAAUCUUUCCAGGUUCCUGUAACGAAUUAAGCAAUAAGAACGAAAUAGUGAGGAGCUCAAUGUCACUUUUACCAUAAAUUAAUAUAUGGUAUAUUAUAGGGACCAGGUGAGCAUCAGAUCAAUGGUCAGUAAUUGCUUGGGGCUAAUAAAAGGCAAUUACUGACCCUUGUGCUGAGCACCGGAUCUGUUUCCAAAUUAUAGAUGCAAGCACAUGCACUAACCGAGGUAAAGUUGUGGGUGUUAAAUUAAUUUAACUGUUAAAUUCUCUUGUAGUAGUAUAGAGGGCUUGGGGUUGAACCCAGACACAUGGAAAAUCAGGAAGGUGGGUUACCAUCACGCUACUUAAAAAAUUAGGGAAAAAAAUGCCCGAGUUAAUAAAGCUCUAAAUAAAGCGUAUGAUGUUAAAAUGGCCUGCCAAUUAAAUGUGAUAAAAAAUAGCGAAGACCUGAAAUCUGCAAAUGUAAUAGUCAUCUCCAAACAAAGCUCUCAUGCUCUCUACAGGCUUUAUAUUCGGAUUCCUUGGCAGAAAAGGGACACUGAGGCACACGAAAGCCUUCACUCUCUCGGGGCAAAAUAAGCAAAGAUACCAAGCUAUGAUUGCACCCCAAUCAUGUGCCACAACAAACACUUGCUCAACACCAAGAGAGUUGAUGAGUGCAACAAGGUCACCAACAAUGUGAUGGCAGCUGUAGCUGGAGAUAGAACUAGGGGCUUCAGUGUCACCAUAGCCACGAAGAUCCGGAGCAAUGGCACGGUAUCCGAGUGAGCUCAAGGCAAGAAUCUGGCGGCGCCAUGUGUACCAAAGUUCAGGGAAGCCAUGGAGGAAGAGUACAACGGGGCCUUCUCCUUUCUCUGCUAUGUGCAUUCUUAUGCCGUUAACUCCCACCAUUCCAUGCUUUAUCUCCUCCAUUUCUGAUUUCUCUUGCAAUUGCGCUCGUCUUUAUGCGUGACGUACGGAUACUUCGGUUUGUUCACUCAAUCAAUGUGCUUGGCUUUCCAAGAUAGAUCACCGUUGGCUGUUGCAUUAAAGUUCAUCGAAAAUAAAUGCUCCUGAGAUUUGACUUUACGUUUUACUAUUACUUCAUCUUAUCGGGAAGGCAACAAAACUGAACAGUAGAAUGAACUCCUAUGAGGGAAGUGCACUUGCCAUAGAUUAAUUGGGGGAUGCACAAAAAAUAUCUCCAUGAAGAAAAGAGUAUUGUUAUAUUUCUCCAGAAGUAUGAUGAGACGUUUUGAUGGAACGAUAUAAUCAAUAAUUAUGAAAUGUCGCUUUAGCAAACUCCAUAUAAGAACAGUACAUAGAAAGAAAAUAUUAAAUUACAAAAAUUUAUGGGAGCAUUUCUACUAAAGAGCAAUGUUAUAUUUCUCAAGAAGUAGAAUGAGAUGCCGUUCAUCUAUUAUGAUGGGAUAAUAUAAUGAGUAAUUUGUCAAUCGGCUGCAUCUAGAAGCUUUGCAUAAACAAAUAAUGGUGGUAUAUGGCUUUGAAAAUUGAACACGGUUUUCACCCACCAAACUUUGAUGAACACGGUUUUGAAGAAGUUUUGAUACCCACGGUUUUGACUUUCUUGACCAUCAUUUUACUAUAAAUACAAGUGCAAAUGAAGAGCUUAUUCAUUCCAUUAUUCAGAGAGCAAUUUAGGGAGUCGAGAGAGAAUUCAAGAGCUUGCUUUUAUGAGCUCUUAUUACAGUGAUUGAGAGAGUUUGGGUGUAUUGAGGUUUUUGGGAAGUGAGCUAAAAUACUACAAUACUUGUAACUCCUUUUCAUUAGUAAAAUAUUUCAGUAUCACUUCGUUCGAGAAGUAGUGGAAGAUGGAAGUGUGGAUUUACAGAAAAUCCAUACCAAAGAGAACCUAGCAGAUGUUUUGACCAAGCCGAUAAAUACUGAUAAAUUUGUCUGGAGUAGAUCCUCUUGUGGCCUAGCAGAAACGUAGGCAACAUGACUAUGGCGAAGCAGAAAGGAUGGUGUGGAGAUUGAUCGAUUCUCAAUCAAAUCUCCAAGUGGGAGAAUGUCAAUCGGCUGCAUCUAGAAGCUGCAUCUAGAAGCUUUGCAUAAACAAAUAAUGGUGGUAUAUGGCUUUGAAAAUUGAACACGGUUUUCACCCACCAAACUUUGAUGAACACGGUUUUGAAGAAGUUUUGAUACCCACGGUUUUGACUUUCUUGACCAUCAUUUUACUAUAAAUACAAGUGCAAAUGAAGAGCUUAUUCAUUCCAUUAUUCAGAGAGCAAUUUAGGGAGUCGAGAGAGAAUUCAAGAGCUUGCUUUUAUGAGCUCUUAUUACAGUGAUUGAGAGAGUUUGGGUGUAUUGAGGUUUUUGGGAAGUGAGCUAAAAUACUACAAUACUUGUAACUCCUUUUCAAGUCGGGCUAUUGUUUACGUAAAAGUACUAUUCAUGUGCAUAAUAUUGUCCACGUAUACGAUACUAUUCACGUAUAUGGCUCUGUUCAUGUAUACAAUUACUGUUCACGUGAAACGGUGGGAGCUGAUCCUAGCAAAGUUAGUUUUUGGUGAAAAGCAAUGGCAGCAAAAUACGAAAUUGAGAAGUUCAACGGAAAUAAUUUUUCGUUGUGGAAAAUAAAGAUAAAAGUUGUAUUGAGGAAAAAUAAUUGAUUGACAACAAUUGGAGAAAUGCCCAUGGAGAUAACUAAUGACAAGUGGAACAAGAUAAAUGGCAUCGCCAUUUCGGAUCUACACUUAGCACUUGCGGAUGGAGUAUUAUCUAGUGUGGUAGAGAAAAAGACAGUAAAGGAAAUAUUGGAUACUCCCACAAAAUUGUACGAGGCCAAGUCGCUACACAACAAGAUCUUCUUAAAAAUGAGACUUUAUACUCUUCGAAUGGCGGAAUCUACAUUAGUGACUGACCACAUCAACACCUUAAAGACUCUAUUUUCACAACUCACAAUGUUGGGUCAUAAUAUAGAGGAAAAUGUACGUGCAGAGCUUCUACUUCAAAGUCUACCAGAUUCGUAUGAUCAAGUCAUUAUCAACCUUACAAACAACAAUCCAGCGGACAAUCUAGUUUUCGACGAUGUUGCCAAUUCCGUAUUAAAUGAAGAAAGUAGGCGGAAACAAGAGAGAGAUCAACAGAACUUGGCUCCAGUAGGAGUCACAAUCAUGGUAGGUCAAAAUCAAGAAGUAAGAAGAGUGUCAAAUGGUACAAUUGUGGCAAGAAAGGGCACGUCAAGAAAGAGUGUUGGAGUAACCAGAAGAUAAAAGAGGGUAAAGAACCUGAUUCAUCAAAUGCUCAGGGGUGUGUAGCAAGUACCUCGGAUGAUGGUGAAAUUCUCUAUAGUAAGGCAACAAUUGUUUCAGAAGGCAGAAAACGACUAUUUGACGUCUGACUUAUAGACUCAGGAGCUACCUGACAUAUGACCUCUAAGAGAGAAUGGUUCCACACAUAUGAACCUAUCUUAGGAGGAUCUGUAUAUAUGGGAGAUUAUCAUGCCUUGGAGAUCGUUGGCAUUGGUACUAUCAAAAUAAAAAUGUUUGAUGGUAUUCGCACAAUUAGGGAGGUACGACAUGUCAAAAGCUUGAGGAAUAAUCUAUUAUCUUUAGGAAAAAUGGAUAGUCAUGGGUACAAAACUCAUGUGGAGAAUGAAAUUAUGAAGAUUGUUAAAGGCGCGCUUGUAUUGAUGAAGGUAGAAAAGAUCGGUACUAAUAUAUUUAUACCUAAAGGGGAAACAUUGUAGGAAGCUAAUGCGUGUGUUGCAUCAUAUGGAGAAGAGUCAAUGAUGAUGUGGCAUCUCAAACUUGACCAUAUGUCGAAAUAAGGUUUAAAGAUUCUCUCUGAGCGAAAAUUGCUUUCAGGGCUCAAAUCGGUAAGUUUACCAUUUUACGAGCAUUGUGUUAUAAGUAAGCAGUAUAGAUUAAAAUUCAGUAGAUCUAUUACUAGAAGUAAAUGCAUCUUAUACUUAGUUCACUCUGAUGUUUGUGAAUCACCAGACAUAUCCAUAAGAGGUGCAAAGUGUAUGGUGAAUUUCAUUAAUGAUUAUUCCAGGAGAUGUUGGGUGUAUCUAAUUAAGAAAAAGUCAGAUGUAUUUCCAUUGUUUAAAGAAUACAAAGCGCAGGUGGAACUUGAAUCCGACAAAAGGAUUAAGUGCUUGAGGACAAAUAAUGGUGGCGAGUAUACAGACGACGAGUUUUAUACUUUCUGUAAGCAAGAAAGUAUUCAGAGGUAGUUCACGGUAGCAUACAUUCCUCAACAAAAUGGAGUGGCAGAGCGGAUAAACAAGACUCUUACAGAGCUAUGUUGAGAACUGCGGGUCUACCUAAUUUAUUCUGGGUAGAAGCAACCAAAACUGCCUGUUAUAUAGUAAAUCGGUUGCCAUCCACAAAAAUUGGGCUGAAGACAGCGAUGGAGAUGUGGACUAGAAAGCCAGCUAAUUACUCCUACCUACAUGCAUUUGGAUGUCCUAUGUACGUGAUGUAUAAUGCCCAAGAAAGAACAAAGUUAGAUCUAAAAUCUAAGAGGUGUAUCUUCUUGGGGUAUGCUGAUGGAGUAAAGGGGUAUUGUCUGUGGGACCCUACUGCCCACAAGAUUAUCAUCAGCAGAGAUGUUAUCUUUGUAGAAGAUCAACUACAAAUGAGAGAUGAGGAUGAUAGCUGUUGUACAAAUUUUAUUGAACUCGUAAGUGCACGAAUCUAUUGUAGAAUACAUUAAUGAUGAUGAGUGUCGAUCCCACGAGGAGGUGAAUUUUAAUUUUGUGUAGAGUUAAUUUUCAUGAGGGUGGUUGGAUUUGUGGUGAAAAUGAUUUGGAAUAUCUUAAAAUUUAAAUUAGAAUGGCGGGAAUAAAUUAAAGCGAAAUCUAUUGAAAUAAAGCAUUUGGGUAUCCAGAUCUGCAACAACAUGCACCAUGGACUAAAUAUUCUUUAUUAAUGCCAAUUAAAUCAUGAGGGGGGUUUCCACUCCUCAUGAAUCACACUUUAAUCAAUAUGGUGCUAAGGGUUUAUCAUGCCAAAUAAUAAUAACCUUGUGCUAGGGAGCUGGUUAAAUCAGUGCGGUAUCUAGACAAGAUUAUUACUAUUUAUCGACGAAAAGUCAAAACAUCCACAAUAAUUAGAGAGGAAGAGAAAGUAAAUUUACCAAAUAAAACUCAUGACACAUGUUGAGACUUCACUUUCAACCCAAGCUUGAAAGAAAAUUAGUUACUCAUAAUUGAACUAGGGGUAAAAUGAAAAUUUAUUAAAAUACGUAGAAAAUACAUUCUGAUGUUUGGGAAUCACCGGAUAUAUCCAUGGGAGGUGCAAAGUACAUGGUGACUUUCAUUGAUGAUUAUUCCAGAAGAUGUUGGGUGUAUCCAAUUAAGAAAAAGUCAGAUGUAUUUCCUGUGUUUAAAGAAUACAAAGCGCGGGUGGAACUUGAAUCUGGUAAAAAGAUCAAGUGCUUGAGGACAGAUAAUGGUGGAGAGUAUACAGACGGCGAGUUUCUUGCUUUCUGUAAGCAAGAAGGUAUUCAGAGGCAGUUCACGGUGGCAUACACUCCUCAACAAAACGGAGUGGCAGAGCGGAUGAACAGAACUCUUACAGAAAGAAUAAGAGCUAUGUUGAAGACUGCUGGUCUACCCAAUUCAUUCUGGGCAGAAGCAGCCAAAACUGCCUGUUAUAUAGUAAAUCGGUCGCCAUCUACAACUAUUGGGCUGAAGACGGCGAUGGAGAUGUGGACUGGAAAGCCAGCUGAUUAUUCCUACCUACAUGCAUUUGGAUGUCCUGUGUACGUGAUGUACAAUGCCCAAGAAAGAACAAAGCUGGAUGAAAAAUCUAGAAGAUGUAUCUUCUUGGGAUAUGCUGGUGGAGUAAAGGGGUAUCGUCUGUGGGAUCCCACUGCCCACAACAUCGUCAUCAGCAGAGAUGUUAUUUUUGUAGAAGAUCAACUGCAAAGAAAAGAUGAAGAUGAUGGCACUGUAAAAGAAAAGUCAGAGACUGUACCGAUAUAUGUGGAAAAUAAUCCAGAAGAUUCAGAUUCUUCUGAAGCAGCACCAGAGCACGAGGAACAAGAACCAGUCGAGUCCGAGGCUCCAGAAGUUCGUCGGUCAACUCGUGAGAGACGACCGCCAACGUGGCACUCGGAGUAUGUCACAGAUAUCAACGUUGCAUACUGUCUUCUAACAGAGGAUGAAGAGCCUUCAACUUUCUAUGAAGCUUUAAACAGUUCAGAUAUUGCUUUGUGGAUGACAGCAAUGCAGGAAGAAAUUGAAGCUCUAUACAAGAACAAGACAUGGGAACUUGUACCACUACCACGUGGAAGAAAAGCCAUUGGAAACAAAUGGGUCUAUAAGAUCAAGCGUGAUGGCAAUGACCAAGUGGAGCGGUAUCGUGCAAGAUUGGUGGUGAAAGGAUAUGCUCAGAAAGAAGGUAUUGACUUCAACGAGAUAUUUUCUCCAGUGGUUCGACUCACAACAGUCAGAAUAGUCUUGGCAAUGUGUGCUACAUUUGACCUACAUUUAGAGCAGUUAGAUGUUAAAACUGCAUUUCUUCAUGGAGAACUUGAAGAAGAAAUAUAUAUGCUCCAACCAGAAGGUUUUGCAGAAAUAGGAAAUGAGAACUUGGUUUGCAGGUUGAACAAAUCUCUAUGCACAGUUGGCUAGGGAGUUUGAAAUGAAGGACUUGGGACCAGCAAACAAGAUUUUAGGGAUGCAAAUUCACCGAGACAGAAAUAACAUGAAGAUUUGGUUUUCGCAAAAGAAUUACUUGAAGAAAAUCUUGCGACGCUUCAACAUGCAAGAUUGCUGCUGUACCGUAGAAAAUCUUGCGACGCUUCAACAUGCAAGAUUGUAAGUCAAUUUCUACCCCACUUCCUGUUAAUUUCAAAUUAUCCUCAAGUAUGUGUCCUAGCAAUGAAGCGGAGAGGAAGGAGAUGUCUCGAGUACCGUAUGUAUCAGCAGUGGGAAGUCUGAUGUUCGCUAUGAUAUGUACAAGACCAGACAUUGCACAAGCAGUGGGAGCAGUCAGUCGAUACAUGGCGAAUCCUGGUGGAGAGCAUUGGAUAGUUGUGAAGAGGGUUCUGAGAUACAUCAGAGGAACCUCAGAUGUUGCAUUAUGUUAUGGAGGAUCAGAGUUUACUGUCAGGGGUUAUGUGGAUUCAGAUUUUGCAGGAGAUCUUGAUAAAAGAAAAUCCACUACUGGUUAUGUGUUUACACUUGCGGGAGCAGCUGUAAGCUGGGUUUCGAAACUGCAGACCGUUGUGGCUUUAUCUACAACAGAAGCAGAAUACAUGGCAGCUACACAAGCUUGCAAGGAAGCUAUUUGGAUACAAAGGUUAUUGGAGGAGCUCGGGCACAAACAACAGAAAAUUCCUGUAUUUUGUGACAGUCAGAGUGCCUUGCACAUUGCAAGGAAUCCAGCCUUUCAUUCCAGGACAAAGCACAUAGGAGUUCAGUAUCACUUCGUUCGUGAAGUAGUGGAAGAUGGAAGUGUGGAUUUACAGAAAAUCCAUACCAAAGAGAACCUAGCAGAUGUUUUGACCAAGCCGAUAAAUACUGAUAAAUUUGUCUGGAGUAGAUCCUCUUGUGGCCUAGCAGAAACGUAGGCAACAUGAUUAUGGCGAAGCAGAAAGGAUGGUGUGGAGAUUGAUCGAUUCUCAAUCAAAUCUCCAAGUGGGAGAAUGUCAAUCGGCUGCAUCUAGAAGCUUUGCAUAAACAAAUAAUGGUGGCACAUGGCUUUCAAAUUUGAACACGGUUUUCACCCACCAAACUUUGAUGAACACGAUUUUGAAGAAGUUUUGAUACCCACGGCUUUGACUUUCUUGGCCAUCAUUUUGCUAUAAAUACAAGUGCAAAUGAAGAGCUUAUUCAUUCCAUUAUUCAGAGAGCAAUUUAGGGAGUCGAGAGAGAAUUCAAGAGCUUGCAUUUAUGAGCUCUGAUUGAGAGAGUUUGGGUGUGUCUUCGCCCGUGGAUGUAGGCUAAAAGCCGAACCACGUAAUUUCUGGUGUCCUCUAUUGUGCUUGUUCUUUAUUUUAUUUCCAAUUUCAUUUUAGCUGCGGUCCUGCUUCACUCACCAAUUAUCUAACAUAAUUUACAAGUUAUGAUAUUAAUCAUUUAACAGAUAAAUGUCCUGUUAGCACAUGAAAGUAAAAUAUUAAGUUCCACCAACUGUUUAUCAGAAUUAUUUUAAAUUCUAUCCUAUUUAUUUUAAAAAAAGUGUGUGUUAAAAGAUUUUAUUAGACUUACCAUAUAAAAUCCAACCACGCAUUGCUUUCCAAUAAUAGCACGUCCAAAUAUAACCUAUAAAAUGAAUGAAUCAUGAUGUUCCAGACACAUUGUUGAAUCAAUGUUUUACACUGACCACAAAAGACUCCAAACAAACUGCGCUUCUAGCGCUUCUCUUGAUCUCCUAUAAAAAUUGUCACCCACAAAUUCUUCUUAUUAAAUAUCUAAACAUCGUUAAUUGAUUUUCAUUCCAGAAUAGCCAAUUAAGAUCAAGGAACAACAAAACCAUGAAGAGAAUCUCAGUAUGCCUCUUUGUUCCUCUUCUGGUUAUCUCCCUAUUGCCCUGCAAAAACACUGAAGCAAGUAAUGAUUUAAUCACAACAACUUGUGAAAAAACAAUGUACAAGGAACUCUGCAUAGCUUCUUUAAGAUCAGACAAGGACAGCAGCGGGUCUGACCUCCAAGGCCUUGGCAAAAUUUCUUUAAAAAUUACGUUGGCCAAUGCCAAUGAAAUUCAGGGUUAUAUUUCAGAGUUGCUAAAGAAAGAUGGGAAGCCAUUUCUUCAACAAUGCUUGAAGGAUUGUUCCGGAAAUUUACAGGAUGCGAUUUUGGAGAUUAAAGACUCGAUAGCAGCUAUCGAUUCUAGGAGUUACGGUGAUGUUAAUACAUGGGUCAGUGCUGCUAUGAGCUAUGAAGAAUCCUGCGAAGAUGGUUUCAAGGAAAAACCAGGCUUUAAAUCUCCAUUAACUCAGAUGAAUGCAAAAUUUAGUCAGCUCUGUAGUAUUUCUUUAACCAUUAGCAAUCUCUUGGCUGGCAAAGCAUAACAUCCUUUUUUUUCAGUUUUUAUAAGGACAUUUUUAUUUUAAGAUUUCGGUUCAAUUUCGCUUCUCUGAAAGUAAAAUUUUAAGACUUACAAAAAGAAUGUACAGUCUAAAAUUUUAAGACUUACAAAAAGAAUGUACAGUCUACGAAAGUGAGAUAUAUCCUAUGUAAUGGAAAACAAAAUAAUUUAAUUGAUUUGUUUGUUCUAUUCCACAGUGGGUACACAUUAAACCACCAUUUUUAAUUAGAAGAGAAAUUUUAUGAAGCGUUCAUAAAAUUACAACGUUAAGGAUUUGAGCUUCUCCUUGAGAAAAUACAGGCAUGCAACGUAAUUAUUAAUGGACAUGUGAAACUAAUAUAAACCUAUAUUAAUUUAAUUACAAUCUGAUAAACAAAAAUUAAUCGACCAAAUAAAAUAAGUCAAUCCAUUAUUCUCUGUUUUCUCUCUUUUCCUUCAAAGGAAUUCAAGAAAGUCCAUUUAUCCAAUUUUUAUGUUAAAACAACAGUUUAAUUUUGAUUACUUAAAACAUUUCAGUGGGUAUAUUGUUUUUUUUCCUUUCUCAAGUUUCUUUCACAAAUAUGAAUAUAUAAAUGCAUAAACAAAAAAAAAAUAUAUAUAUAUAUUAUUAAUUUGAGAAAAAAAUUGUCAUCCAAUAACAUUGGAGCACAUGUCCACGAGGUGAAAAAGUAAGAACAAGGCUCAAGCAGAAAGGAUAGAAAUUUUACUGUACGCACAAAUAAAAUCUCAGAAACCAAGAUGAGGGUUUCCGAGAAGAACUAUGUGCGAGAUCACUGAAAUCAAGUACGAAAAGAAAAGCAGAGACUAGUUAAACAGAACAGAGUUAGCUUGUUCUUGUAAGCAAAAGGGAAUAUUAAAUAAAAACAAGAAGAGAGUUGAAGCAGAUCUCGGAGUGGAGGCUGGGGAGUAUUUUGCAAAGUUAACAAGCUAACCAAGCAGAGCCAAACCCUAGUCUUAAGAAACCCUUAUAUAGAGAGAUUCUAAGCUAUGCAUGCAUAUUACUAUAAUGCCCUGGAGAAGUCUAGGGUUUAUGAAAUCUUGAUAGUUGCUCCAUACCUUUGCUCCAUAACUUCACAACUCACUCAUUCAUCAUUAGUGGGAUAGAUGAAGGCUAGCAAAAAAAUUGUCAGUUUAGUUAUGGAUUGGAUUUUGAAUCCACUACAACAUCUGUUACCAAAACCUUCUUAGUUUCUUACUAGUGAUAAAUCAAACAUCUUGAACCUUCACCAAAGCCAUUUGCAAGGGAAGAGAUGAUUUUUGAGAAUCAAAGUAGCCACUUCAGCAGUUAUCGAGAAAAAGAACUAAAAACAAUGAGUGAGAAGAAAAAUCAUUUUCCCAUCAACUUGUAACAUGAAUCAAAAUGAUGUUCUAUUUAAGGAACCACAGAUUCGAUACAAUACAACAACCAACUUGGAGGCUUUCAACAUAAUUGUUAUAAGAAAAUUAAAUCUAAUAUAACAAUGUGCACAUCUCAUGAAAACAGAGAGCAUAAAUAUAUGACUCCAUUCUUGGCAAAGACAAGUUUGAAUCUUUAAGCUGAGAAGCACACUGGACAUUUUUGUUCAUUUCUUGAUUCUAGACUUUGACACUGGCCUCCAAUCUCAGUCAAAAUUAGCAUUUAAGAAUUUCAGCAAUUCAUUUCUUUUGCUUUCUGCUUCUUUAUCUUCCUUCGAUUUGUCAAGUUUCAAUAGAAUCUAGAUGGAAACAAGAAGAACGAAACAUUAAUAAUUGUAGACGUCAAUAACAUCUCUUGUUACAGAUUUAGGAAAGGACUAGCUUUACCUUUUUGCCAGAAACAGCACUUCGACGGACUCCAUCACCUUUGUCUCGCCUUAAGAACUGCAUAGAUUGGAUGGUAGAGGUUAUUGUGAUCUUAAACAACAAAUGCUACAGAUGCAGAUGAUAAACUACCAAAGUGCAUUGGAAUACCUUCGAAAGCUGUACAGGGCCACUACUUCCCUCAUCUUUCUCCUUCUAUAUAUGGCUCCCAUUGCCAGGACGAACCCAACCCAGAAACAAAAUCCAGGAAAAGUCAAUAGUACCCAGUCACCAUGUCACAGACCCCAGCUCCAAUUUCAAAGAGCCAAUUUACAAAAGAGGCAGAAAAAACUAUUAGCAUCACCUCAGAUAUAGACAUUUGAUACAAGCAUCAAAAUAACAAACAUUCAAACUACUCUGAUAAAUUACUAUAUAUGCAUUGACCAUAAAGAAACCAAGCCAAGGUAAGUGACCACAUAAAAAGAUGAAAUUUCGCAACUUCUAAGCACAUUGAAGAUUAGAAAAAGCAGAACUUGGUGAGCAGAAAUACAGAAAAUCAAAAGUAAACAUCAAACAUAAUUUCCUACCCCGUGCCUGUGAAUCUUUCAUUUUGAUUCACUUAACAUGGGAUUUAAUUAAUCAUCAUUCGAUAAAAAUUAGAAUGAAACUGACUCAGACAAAGCAUAAGCAUAUUUUUUGACAAUAAGAUAAAGGCGAGAAAGCUAGAGUCAGAAAACUGCCCUACCUCU